rnacentral:misc_RNA from 1 species
UGCGCCUCGUGCUCGAUCGUUCCGAGUCCGCUCGUGGCG